UUAUCGGAGAGUUUGAUCCUGGCUCAGGACGAACGCUGGCGGCAUGCCUCAUACAUGCAAGUCGAGCGGGCUGGAAACGAGAGACUUCGGUCUCAUGUUUUCGGAUAGCGGCGGACGGGUGAGUAACGCGUGGG
rnacentral:rRNA from 1 species